ACAAAUUCUCUCUCCUCGCUCUCUCUCUCCUCCGCGAUUUUCUCUCUGCCUGUGCGUUUCUCUCUCCUUCUCACGGACGCUAUUUUUGUUCUCCUCAAUUAUUUUCAUGCUUCCUCACCUCAAUCAACAACUUGAUUAUAUGGAAUUUGCUACAAUUUACAUAUUGUUUCAAUAAUUUUCUGGAUUCGUUGCAAAAUUUCUCAAUAAUUGAGUUGUUCGAACUAAUUAAUAGCUCGCUCAAAUCAUAAUAAUUGACCAUUUCUCCGCAAAAAAUCGACGAUGAACUCUUAAUUCUUCAACUUUCUUCGAAUUCCAGCAAAUUUGUCCUUAAAUUAGCUUCGAUUUUUGUUUCGGACGAUUUUAUUGAAGAUUCCAAUGCUUAAAGUUGGGGAUUUGUUGAAAAAUUUCUUCUACGACGCUCAAUUCCCACUCAAUCUGCCAAUUCAAGCUCACAAUCAGGUAAGCCUUGGUUAUGAAGUAAGGAGAGAAGCUUGGAAGCUCGAUUCAUGAAGUGCUGCACGACCACAGAGAGGGCGCGCACUGGCAGUAUGCGCGGGCUCCAGUCACUGUGCGCGGGCGCAUACAGAGAACAAAUUGAAGCAUCAAGGAAGGAACUCUGCGCGCCUGAUGCGCGAACAAGGAGAGGGCUCGCAUCCAAGCUGCGCUGGCGCGCAACCACUUUGUGCGGGCGCGUACAGAGUUGAAGAGCCAAUUCCAGAAUAAAGGUAGGGAGUCUGCGUGCCUUGGUCGCGCCUUGAUCGCGGGCGAGCAUCAUAACUGCGCGGGCACGCAUUUAUCCUGCACGGGUGCGCAUAUCUGUGUUUCGCUUUUCAUGCCUAGAUUAUUGUGGGCAUACAGUAAGUUUGCGAGGGCGCGCAUGCUAUGUUGGCUACUCUCAUUUAAGCCUUUGUAUAAAUAGUUUUAAGUCUCUCUCUUUAGCAAUUAAUUAGGAUAUUAGAUUAGCAUAAUAUAGGGUUUUCUUAGCUUAAACUUAGAGAGAGAAACACUUAUAUUGUGAUCUUGGAUGAUUUGUAAUCAACCUUUUUGAAGAUUAAUGAAGCUCUAUUAGUAAUUUCUUUCC